rnacentral:pre_miRNA from 1 species
CAUGUCGGGGGUUGCGUAGGCGUUGUGCACAGUGUUCCUUCACCUUACAAUUGUGCAUCUCAUCCACGCAAAUCACGGCACU